UACGUAGGGGGCUAGCGUUGUCCGGAUUUAUUGGGCGUAAAGCGCGCGCAGGCGGUCCUUUAAGUCUGAUGUGAAAGCCCACGGCUCAACCGGGGAGGGUCAUUGGAAACUGGGGGACUUGAGUGCAGGAGAGAAGAGUGGAAUUCCACGUGUAGCGGUGAAAUGCGUAGAUAUCUGGAGGAACACCGGUGGCGAAGGCGGCAUUCUGGACCGACAUUGACGCUGAGGAGCGAAAGCCAGGGGAGCAAACGGG
rnacentral:rRNA from 1 species